CCUACGGGGGGCAGCAGUCGAGAAUCAUUCACAAUGGGGGAAACCCUGAUGGUGCGACGCCGCGUGGGGGAAUGAAGGUCUUCGGAUUGUAAACCCCUGUCAUGUGGGAGCAAAUUAAAAAGAUAGUACCACAAGAGGAAGAGACGGCUAACUCUGUGCCCGCAGCAGCGGUAAUACAGCGGGCUCAAGCGUUGUUCGGAAUCACUGGGCGUAAGGCGUGCGUAGGCUGUUUCGUAAGUCGUGAGUGAAAGGCGCGGGCUCAACCCGCGGACGGCACCUGAUACUGCGAGGCUAGAGUAAUGGAGGGGGAACCGGAAUUCGCGGUGUAGCAGUGAAAUGCGUAGAUAUCGAGAGGAACACUCGUGGCGAAGGCGGGUUCCUGGACAUUAACUGACGCUGAGGCACGAAGGCCAGGGGAGCGAAAGGGAUUAGAUACCCUUGUAGUC
rnacentral:rRNA from 1 species